rnacentral:lncRNA from 1 species
UAUGGAGUUGAGACAACGGAGGGAUGAUAUGUUAAAUCUUUUGUGGAGGUAACUGUGAAUAGGGGAGUUCCACGCCAUGAAGUAAUAAGAAUUGUGGUUCUCUUGAGGUGGAAUAAGUAAAAUCUGAGGAGUAGGAAGCAACUUAUGCUUUUAAUACCCUAAAGUAUCGGUACCAUUUUAAAGUAUGAGAUGUCAAUUUUUCAUAUCGAGAGUAUUAUAAAUAUUUUUUUUAAAGAGUAAGAGCUGAGUACAAUGCUGUAACAUUGAUGUUAGGAAAUGUGUC